rnacentral:rRNA from 1 species
UACGUAGGGUGCAAGCGUUAUUCGGAAUUACUGGGCGUAAAGCGUGCGCAGGCGGUUCGCCAAGUCAGGUGUGAAAUCCCCGGGCUUAACCUGGGAAUUGCGCUUGAAACUAGCGGGCUUGAGUGCGGCAGAGGGGGGUGGAAUUCCACGUGUAGCAGUGAAAUGCGUAGAGAUGUGGAGGAACACCGAUGGCGAAGGCAGCCCCCUGGGUCGACACUGACGCUCAUGCACGAAAGCGUGGGGAGCAAACAGG